UCUCUUACUUUCUAGAAGAGGAAACCGAGGCCCAGAGAUGGAGGAUUCUUUCCUGAAGCCAAACCACACAGGCUUUCCUACUCAUUAGUUACCACCUGGAUUUGUACACCGGGACCCGUUGUUAGAAACGUCAGGAUAACAAUAAAGUAAAAUCCUCAACAAAAAUGAGCAGGAAAUCCUACCUCCAAAGAUCAAAUGAAACCGACCAACUGACCAAUGGCGUAGGAAAUUGAGGACACAGAGAUAAGCAAAAAGAAGACAAUUAAAAUCACAGACGAAAGCACCUGCCAGGAAAUGUCUCGCUUCCAGCUGCCCGCAUUAGAAGCACACACGAUCAAGGAGAACUUAACACGGCAGCGGAACACUGACACCCAAGCCAGAGUCCACCAGGAGAGCCUUUCCAGGUGAAAACCCCGCUGAAACAAAACGUGCGGCAAAAGAAAGUGAACAACCCCACGCAUUUGCUCGAACCUUGAAAAUAAAUAGAAAACAAAUGUACAGAUGCUUCUUCAUCAGAGGGAUCAGCAGCAGCGUGCACGCAGGCAGACGCCGGCGUUAAAAACAGAACAGAAAUAACCAUGUGUUUCAGCCGGGUGUGUCACCAUAUUGUACUCAAC